rnacentral:rRNA from 1 species
GAGGGGGACAACAGUUGGAAACGACUGCUAAUACCGCAUGACGCAUAGAGGUCGCAUGAUCUUUAUGCCAAAGAUUUAUCGCUUCAAGAUGGCCUCGCGUCUGAUUAGCUGGUUGGCGGGGUAACGGCCCACCAAGGCAACGAUCAGUAGCCGGACUGAGAGGUUGAACGGCCACAUUGGGACUGAGAUACGGCCCAGACUCCUACGGGAGGCAGCAGUGGGGAAUAUUGGGCAAUGGGCGCAAGCCUGACCCAGCAACGCCGCGUGAAGGAAGAAGGCUUUCGGGUUGUAAACUUCUUUUAAGAGGGAAGAGCAGAAGACGGUACCUCUAGAAUAAGCCACGGCUAACUACGUGCCAGCAGCCGCGGUAAUACGUAGGUGGCAAGCGUUGUCCGGAUUUACUGGGUGUAAAGGGCGUGCAGCCGGG